CCUACGGGUGGCAGCAGUGAGGAAUAUUGGUCAAUGGACGAAAGUCUGAACCAGCCAAGUAGCGUGAAGGAUGACUGCCCUAUGGGUUGUAAACUUCUUUUAUAUGGGAAUAAAAUGUUCCACGUGUGGGGUUUUGUAUGUACCGUAUGAAUAAGGACCGGCUAACUCCGUGCCAGCAGCCGCGGUAAUACGGAGGGUCCGAGCGUUAUCCGGAUUUAUUGGGUUUAAAGGGAGCGUAGGCGGAUUGUUAAGUCAGUUGUGAAAGGUUGUGGCUCAACCGUAGAAUUGCAGUUGAAACUGGCAGUCUUGAGUACGGGAGAGGUGGGCGGAAUUCGUGGUGUAGCGGUGAAAUGCUUAGAUAUCACGAAGAACUCCGAUUGCGAAGGCAGCUAACUGGACCGCAACUGACACUGAGGCUCGAAAGUGUGGGUAUCAAACAGGAUUAGAUACCCGUGUAGUC
rnacentral:rRNA from 1 species